CACAGGGAUCUAUGAAGAGGGCUAGAGGUCUGUUCCCCACACAGAUCUAUAAAGAGGGCUAGAGGUCUGUUCCCCACACAGAUCUAUAAAGAGGGCUAGAGGUCUGUUCUCCACAGGGAUCUAUGAAGAGGGCUAGAGGUCUGUUCCUCACAGAGAUCUAUAAAGAGGGCUAGAGGUCUGUUCUCCACAUGGAUUUAUAAAGAGGGUUCGAGGUCUGUUCUCCACAGGAACCUAUAAAGAGGGGUAAAUGUCUGUUCCACACAAGGUGCGUUAAUUUUGCUUUCUCAGGGAGAUGACAUCUGUUGUGGGGUCUAUGUUUAAACCAAUUGUUUGUCUGCUUUUCUCUUUUCACUAGCUACAACACUGUCAGCAUUCUUGUGUCGUGCACAAGCUGCUUUAAAACUGUAAAUGAUGGCCUAUUCUUUUUGGUAAAUGAACUGAAAUUGCAGCAUAUGAAAUUACAACAAGAACAAAGUUUGGAGAUAUGCU
ensembl:lncRNA